GGAGGUUUUGACCCACCCGGCCCCCAUCUUCCAGGUGCCUGUCUGCCAGGGAAGCCUCCCCGUGGUUCUCAGAUGCCCUUCACUGUCUUUUCCGUGCCACUCUUUCAUGGAUGACCAGCUGCCUAACACCAAGACAACCCCAGGUUCUGGGGUUCACCUGGAGGCCUCACGAGACUCGGCGUUGAGCGAGACUCCUCUUCCUCACAGCUAUGAUUGUGACAGUGAGAGGACCCAAGGUGAAAUCAGCAAACUUCAGGAGGCUUCUCCUGAAAAAUAUUUCAGAGUCCUAGGACACGAUAACAUGUUAAUCCUAGAAGAAAACUUGGAGAUCAGAACAUCCUCAUUAUAAAUUCUACUCAGAAUAGUUUUGUGGGGGACAUUCUGUGUCUCCAGCAUAAUGUUGGGUUUUAAAGAGGACAAAAUGCAGAAGAAGGAGCCAGGCAUCCAGUUGAGUAAGGUCUAAUAAACCAAGAGGGGGGGAACUGAGGACUAGAGAGAGAAGCCACACACCCAUAGCAGAUUCUUUUUUAAAAAGCAUCUGAAGCAGCAGAUUAGAUUUGGAACACACUUUACUGGAACCCAGGACUCAAGCUAACCUAGCCUUACUCAUCAGAGCCAAAGAAGAUUUGCCAACAAAAUCCCUUUCUUGCCAGGUGUGGUGACGCACGCCUGUAAUCCCAGCAGCUCAGAAGGCUGAGACAGGAGGAUCUCGAGCUCAAACCCAGCCUCAGCAACUUAGCGAGGCACUAAGCAAUUCAGUGAGAGUCUGUGUCUAAAUAAAAUACAAAAAAGUUCUGGAGAUGUGGCUCAGUGGUUGAGUGCCCCUGAGUUCAAUCCCUGGUACUCUCCCACUCCCCCCCCGCCAAAAAAAAUAAAAGUCCCAUUCUUCCUUCAAG
rnacentral:lncRNA from 1 species